rnacentral:rRNA from 1 species
CCCGGUGCCCAUACCGGAGGGGGCACACCCGUUCCCAUCUCGAACACGGUCGUUAAGCCCUCCAGGGCCGAUGGUACUUGGCGGGAAGCUGCCUGGGAGAGUAGGUCGGUGCCGGGA